GAGGGAGGGAGGACAAGCAAGCACAAGUUUAGAAGGAGAAAAUCAAGAAAAGAACCGCCCGGAAGGGAGAAAGAAGGACAAAGAUAGAGGAGUAAGAGAGAGGGAAGUGGGAGCAGUAGAUAGAGCAGAGAUUCCAGGGUCCGAAGCCAGGGAGCGGGAUGGGGGUGGGGAAAUAGAAUGGACGCAGUGGUGAGAUUCUCCAUUCUCCCUGGAGUGCGGAGAAGUGGCAGCUGUCGCGGCCUAACCCUCCUGCCAACCCGGCCUCCUCAUUCCAGCCCCUAGCGGCCCCAGGCAGAGCUGAGCAGACACAGCCAGCCGCCCGGGCGUCUGUCUCCGUCACCCCUCCCCAGUCCUCUCUACAGGUGGACUGAGCCAUUCCAAACCAGUCAGUUUCCUCUCUGGGCUUCAGAAAAAAAGGAAUGAGUUGAUGUAGGAAGUGUUCCCCUCCAAGUGCCUCAUUGUCUCUCUGAAGGGGAAGCUGCCAAGGCUGAGGCCUGGGAAGGGAUUGGAUAGCUACCCCACCCCCAAGCCAUCCCUACUCUGGAGCUUGAUGAGAACCAGCAUCAGCAUUGACCAGGAAGGGUCAGGGGCACCAGAUCAAGACAGGAUGGCCCAAUGACCAGGACCAGCAUGGAUGCACAAAGAAAAUAUAAAACAGCGAGAGGAAAGAGGAAGAGAGAAGAAGGGAGAUGAUCCAUUUGGCUUUUCUAAGAGAGUGUGCUAUUUUCUGCAUCCACUGAUUGAAGGUAUAAAUAAAGAUGGACCGAAAA